rnacentral:rRNA from 1 species
UUAUGUGCUUGCACAUUUUGGACGUCGACCGGCGCACGGGUGAGUAUCGCGUAUCCAACCUGCCCUUUACUUGGGGAUACCCCGUUGAAGGACGGCCUAAUACCCGAUGUAAUUCAUUGAUGGCAUCAGAUAUGAAUAAAAGAUUUAUCGGUAAAGGAUGGGGAUGCGUCUGAUUAGCUUGUUGGUGAGGUAAUGGCUCACCAAGGCAACGAUCAGUAGGGGUUCUGAGAGGGAGGUCCCCCACAUUGGAACUGAGACACGGUCCAAACUCCUACGGGAGGCAGCAGUGAGGAAUAUUGGUCAAUGGGCGCAAGCCUGAACCAGCCAAGUAGCGUGCAGGAAGACGGCCCUAUGGGUUGUAAACUGCUUUUAUACGAGAAUAAUUUGAUGCACGUGUGCGUUAUUGCAUGUAUCGUAUGAAUAAGGACCGGCUAAUUCCGUGCCAGCAGCCGCGGUAAUACGGAAGGUCCAGGCGUUAUCCGGAUUUAUUGGGUUUAAAGGGAGUGUAGGCGGUUUGUUAAGCGUGUUGUGAAAUUUAGAUGCUCAACAUUUAACUUGCAGCGCGAACUGUCAGACUUGAGUACACGCAACGUAUGCGGAAUUCAUGGUGUAGCGGUGAAAUGCUUAGAUAUCAUGAAGAACUCCGAUUGCGAAGGCAGCAUACGGGAGUGUAACUGACGCUUAAGCUCGAAGGUGCGGGUAUCGAACAGGAUUAGAUACCCUGGUAGUCCGCACAGUAAACGAUGGAUGCC